UACGUAGGUGGUAAGCGUUGUCCGGAUUUAUUGGGUUUAAAGGGUGCGUAGGCGGUCUUUUAAGUCAGUGCUGAAAUAUCCCGGCUUAACCGGGAGGGUGGCAUUGAUACUGAAGGACUUGAGUUCAGUCGAGAUAGGCGGAAUUGACGGUGUAGCGGUGAAAUGCUUAGAUAUCGUCAAGAACACCGAUAGUGUAGACAGCUUACUAGGCUGAAACUGACGCUGAGGCACGAAAGUGUGGGGAUCAAACAGG
rnacentral:rRNA from 1 species